AUCGAUGAAGAACGCAGCGAAAUGCGAUAAGUAAUGUGAAUUGCAGAAUUCAGUGAAUCAUCGAAUCUUUGAACGCACCUUGCGCUCCUUGGUAUUCCGAGGAGCAUGCCUGUUUGAGUGUCAUUAAUAUAUCAACCUUCUCAUUUUGAGUGGUUUGGAUGUGGGGGUUUGCUGGCCUCUUAAAAAGGUCUUGGCUCUCCUGAAAUACAUUAGCAGAACAACCCUGUUCAUUGGUGUGAUAACUAUCUACGCUAUUGAAUGUGAAGGGCAGUUUGGCUUUCUAACAGUCCUUGGACAAGCUCAUCAUUAAUGUGACCUCAAAUCAGGUAGGACUACCCGCUGAACUUAAGCAUAUCAAUAAGCGGAGGAAAAGAAACUAACAAGGAUUCCCCUAGUAACUGCGAGUGAAGCGGGAAAAGCUCAAAUUUAAAAUCUGGCGGUCUUUUGGCUGUCUGAGUUGUAAUCUAGAGAAGUGUUAUCCGCGCUGGACCGUGUACAAGUUUCCUGGAAUGGAGCAUCAUAGAGGGUGAGAAUCCCGUCUUUGACAUGGACUACCAGGGCUUUGUGAUGCGCUCUCAAAGAGUCGAGUUGUUUGGGAAUGCAGCUCAAAAUGGGUGGUAAAUUCCAUCUAAAGCUAAAUAUUGGCGAGAGACCGAUAGCGAACAAGUACCGUGAGGGAAAGAUGAAAAGAACUUUGGAAAGAGAGUUAAACAGUACGUGAAACUGCUGAAAGGGAAACGCUUGAAGUCAGUCGCGUUGGCCGGGGAUCAACCUUGCUUUUGCUGGGCGUACUUUCCGGUUGACGGGUCAGCAUCAAUUUUGACCGUUGGAUAAAGUCCAGGGGAAUGUGGCAUCUUCGGAUGUGUUAUAGCCCUUGGUCGCAUACAACGGUUGGGAUUGAGGAACUCAGCACGCCGCAAGGCCGGGUACUUGUACCACGUUCGUGCUUAGGAUGCUGGCAUAAUGGCUUUAAUCGACCCGUC
rnacentral:rRNA from 1 species